rnacentral:rRNA from 1 species
CCUACGGGAUGCAGCAGUCGAGAAUCAUUCACAAUGGGGGAAACCCUGAUGGUGCGACGCCGCGUGGGGGAAUGAAGGUCUUCGGAUUGUAAACCCCUGUCAUGUGGGAGCAAAUUAAAAAGAUAGUACCACAAGAGGAAGAGACGGCUAACUCUGUGCCAGCAGCCGCGGUAAUACAGAGGUCUCAAGCGUUGUUCGGAAUCACUGGGCGUAAAGCGUGCGUAGGCUGUUUCGUAAGUCGUGUGUGAAAGGGGCGGGCUCAACCCGCGGACGGCACAUGAUACUGCGAGACUAGAGUAAUGGAGGGGGAACCGGAAUUCUCGGUGUAGCAGUGAAAUGCGUAGAUAUCGAGAGGAACACUCGUGGCGAAGGCGGGUUCCUGGACAUUAACUGACGCUGAGGCACGAAGGCCAGGGGAGCGAAAGGGAUUAGAUACCCUUGUAGUC